UACUACGUACUUAUUGACGCUGAUGAACGAAAGCGUGGGUAGCGAACAGGAUUAGAUAUCCUGGUAGUCCACGCCGUAAACGAUGGAUACUAGCUGUUCGGUCUUCGGACUGAGUGGCUAAGCGAAAGUGAUAAGUAUGCCACGUGGGGAGUACGUUCGCAAGAAUGAAACUCAAAGGAAUUGACGGGGCCCCGCACAAGCGGUGGAGCAUGUGGUUUAAUUCGAUGAUACGCGAGGAACCUUACCAGGGCUUAAAUGUAGAUUGACAGGUUUGGAAACAGACUUUUCUUCGGACAAUUUACAAGGUGCUGCAUGGUUGUCGUCAGCUCGUGCCGUGAGGUGUCAGGUUAAGUCCUAUAACGAGCGCAACCCCUAUUGUUAGUUUCCAGCGAGUAAUGUCGGGAACUCUAGCAAGACUGCCGGUGCAAACCGAGAGGAAGGUGGGGAUGACGUCAAAUCAUCACGGCCCUUACGUCCUGGGCUACACACGUGCUACAAUGGCAAGUACAGAAAGCAGCUGCCUGGCAACAGGAUGCGAAUCUCCAAAGCUUGUCUCAGUUCGGAUUGGAGUCUGCAACUCGACUCUAUGAAGCUGGAAUCGCUAGUAAUCGGAUAUCAGCCAUGAUCCGGUGAAUACGUUCCCGGGCCUUGUACACACCGCCCGUCAAGCCAUGGAAGCUGGGGGUACCUGAAGUCGGUGACCGCAAGGAGCUUCCUUAU
rnacentral:rRNA from 1 species